AACGGAGCUUAGAGAGCUUGCUUUUUAAGCUUAGUGGCGAACGGGUGAGUAACGCGUGAGUAACCUGCCCUAGAGUGGGGGACAACAGUUGGAAACGACUGCUAAUACCGCAUAAGCCCACGGUGCUGCAUGGCACAGCGGGAAAAGGAUUUAUUCGCUUCAGGAUGGACUCGCGUCCAAUUAGCUAGUUGGUGAGGUAACGGCCCACCAAGGCGACGAUUGGUAGCCGAACUGAGAGGUUGAACGGCCACAUUGGGACUGAGAUACGGCCCAGACUCC
rnacentral:rRNA from 1 species